AUACCAUGAUAAGGACACCUUCUGAGCAAUUCUUUGAAUCUCUUCCAAGCCUCGUACAAACUCUCAUCUUCAAGUUGAUGGAAGAAAGUAAUCUCAUUCUGCAGCUU
rfam:Citrus sinensis cultivar Ridge Pineapple sweet orange scaffold00633_contig_12, whole genome shotgun sequence.